AUGAUUUCAGGUAAAACUAAAAUCAUAAACACGGAUGGCAUUAACCAAGAGUUGAACAACUCAUAUUCUUUUGCCCACAACCAAAAUGGUACCAAAGGUCCAUUCAAAAUUUUAGACAGAGAACAAAGGAAUAUAAAUGUAGAAAAGUAUGUCAAGACUGCGAAAAGUAACGAAAGACGUCGAUUAAAUCUAAAUGAAAUAAACUGUAAUGGUACAAGCAAAAUUGCAACAACAAAAGAAAGAGAAAAAUUUAACGUACUCACUACGGAAAUGAAAAGGGAUUUUGACAUUAAAUCGUAAGAAAGAACCAGUUCAGCGUCUUCACUCGUCAUAAAA